rnacentral:rRNA from 1 species
UUGAACGCUGGCGGCAGGCCUAACACAUGCAAGUCGAACGGUAACAGGAAGAAGCUUGCUUCUUUGCUGACGAGUGGCGGACGGGUGAGUAAUGUCUGGGAAACUGCCUGAUGGAGGGGGAUAACUACUGGAAACGGUAGCUAAUACCGCAUAACGUCGCAAGACCAAAGAGGGGGACCUUCGGGCCUCUUGCCAUCGGAUGUGCCCAGAUGGGAUUAGCUAGUAGGUGGGGUAACGGCUCACCUAGGCGACGAUCCCUAGCUGGUCUGAGAGGAUGACCAGCCACACUGGAACUGAGACACGGUCCAGACUCCUACGGGAGGCAGCAGUGGGGAAUAUUGCACAAUGGGCGCAAGCCUGAUGCAGCCAUGCCGCGUGUAUGAAGAAGGCCUUCGGGUUGUAAAGUACUUUCAGCGGGGAGGAAGGGAGUAAAGUUAAUACCUUUGCUCAUUGACGUUACCCGCAGAAGAAGCACCGGCUAACUCCGUGCCAGCAGCCGCGGUAAUACGGAGGGUGCAAGCGUUAAUCGGAAUUACUGGGCGUAAAGCGCACGCAGGCGGUUUGUUAAGUCAGAUGUGAAAUCCCCGGGCUCAACCUGGGAACUGCAUCUGAUACUGGCAAGCUUGAGUCUCGUAGAGGGGGGUAGAAUUCCAGGUGUAGCGGUGAAAUGCGUAGAGAUCUGGAGGAAUACCGGUGGCGAAGGCGGCCCCCUGGACGAAGACUGACGCUCAGGUGCGAAAGCGUGGGGAGCAAACAGGAUUAGAUACCCUGGUAGUCCACGCCGUAAACGAUGUCGACUUGGAGGUUGUGCCCUUGAGGCGUGGCUUCCGGAGCUAACGCGUUAAGUCGACCGCCUGGGGAGUACGGCCGCAAGGUUAAAACUCAAAUGAAUUGACGGGGGCCCGCACAAGCGGUGGAGCAUGUGGUUUAAUUCGAUGCAACGCGAAGAACCUUACCUGGUCUUGACAUCCACGGAAGUUUUCAGAGAUGAGAAUGUGCCUUCGGGAACCGUGAGACAGGUGCUGCAUGGCUGUCGUCAGCUCGUGUUGUGAAAUGUUGGGUUAAGUCCCGCAACGAGCGCAACCCUUAUCCUUUGUUGCCAGCGGUCCGGCCGGGAACUCAAAGGAGACUGCCAGUGAUAAACUGGAGGAAGGUGGGGAUGACGUCAAAUCAUCAUGCCCCUUAUGAUUUGGGCUACACACGUGCUACAAUGGCGCAUACAAAGAGAAGCGACCUCGCGAGAGCAAGCGGACCUCAUAAAGUGCGUCGUAGUCCGGAUUGGAGUCUGCAACUCGACUCCAUGAAGUCGGAAUCGCUAGUAAUCGUGGAUCAGAAUGCCACGGUGAAUACGUUCCCGGGCCUUGUACACACCGCCCGUCACACCAUGGGAGUGGGUUGCAAAAGAAGUAGGUAGCUUAACCUUCGGGAGGGCGCUUACCACUUUGUGAUUCAUGACUGGGGUG